AUUGAACGCUGGCGGCAGGCCUAACACAUGCAAGUCGAGCGAGCGGCGGACGGGUGAGUAAUGUCUGGGAAACUGCCCGAUGGAGGGGGAUAACUACUGGAAACGGUAGCUAAUACCGCAUAUCACCAGAUGUGCCCCGAUGGGAUUAGCUCGUAGGUGGGGUAACGGCUCACCUCGGCGACGAUGCCCACCUGGUCUGAGAGGAUGACCAGCCACACUGGAACUGAGACACGGGCCAGACUCCGACGGGAGGCAGCAGUGGGGAAUAUUGCACAAUGGGCGCAAGCCUGAUGCAGCCAUGCCGCGUGUGUGAAGAAGGCCUUCGGGUUGUAAAGCACUUUCAGCGGGGAGGCGUUACCCGAAGAAGAAGCACCGGCUAACUCCGUGCCAGCCGCCGCGGUAAUAC
rnacentral:rRNA from 1 species